rnacentral:rRNA from 1 species
CGCGAAGAACCUUACCUGGUCUUGACAUCCCGAUGCUAUUUCUAGAGAUAGAAAGUUACUUCGGUACAUCGGUGACAGGUGGUGCAUGGUUGUCGUCAGCUCGUGUCGUGAGAUGUUGGGUUAAGUCCCGCAACGAGCGCAACCCCUAUUGUUAGUUGCCAUCAUUCAGUUGGGCACUCUAGCGAGACUGCCGGUAAUAAACCGGAGGAAGGUGGGGAUGACGUCAAAUCAUCAUGCCCCUUAUGACCUGGGCUACACACGUGCUACAAUGGUUGGUACAACGAGUUGCGAGUCGGUGACGGCAAGCUAAUCUCUUAAAGCCAAUCUCAGUUCGGAUUGUAGGCUGCAACUCGCCUACAUGAAGUCGGAAUCGCUAGUAAUCGCGGAUCAGCACGCCGCGGUGAAUACGUUCCCGGGCCUUGUACACACCGCCCGUC